ACACUGCUGAUGAGUCCCACAAUAGGACGAAACGGCCGUCCAGUGC
rfam:Schistosoma mattheei strain Denwood, Zambia genome assembly, scaffold: SMTD_scaffold0019320